UGAGGAAUAUUGGUCAAUGGACGAGAGUCUGAACCAGCCAAGUAGCGUGAAGGAUGACUGCCCUAUGGGUUGUAAACUUCUUUUAUACGGGAAUAAAGUGAGGCACGUGUGCCUUUUUGUAUGUACCGUAUGAAUAAGGAUCGGCUAACUCCGUGCCAGCAGCCGCGGUAAUACGGAGGAUCCGAGCGUUAUCCGGAUUUAUUGGGUUUAAAGGGAGCGUAGGCGGACGCUUAAGUCAGUUGUGAAAGUUUGCGGCUCAACCGUAAAAUUGCAGUUGAUACUGGGUGUCUUGAGUACAGUAGAGGCAGGCGGAAUUCGUGGUGUAGCGGUGAAAUGCUUAGAUAUCACGAAGAACUCCGAUUGCGAAGGCAGCUUGCUGGACUGUAACUGACGCUGAUGCUCGAAAGUGUGGGUAUCAAACAGGAUUAGAUACCCUGGUAGUCCACACAGUAAACGAUGAAUACUCGCUGUUUGCGAUAUACAGUAAGCGGCCAAGCGAAAGCGUUAAGUAUUCCACCUGGGGAGUACGCCGGCAACGGUGAAACUCAAAGGAAUUGACGGGGGCCCGCACAAGCGGAGGAACAUGUGGUUUAAUUCGAUGAUACGCGAGGAACCUUACUCGGGCUUGAAUUGCAACUGAAUGAUGUGGAGACAUGUCAGCCGCAAGGCAGUUGUGAAGGUGCUGCAUGGUUGUCGUCAGCUCGUGCCGUGAGGUGUCGGCUUAAGUGCCAUAACGAGCGCAACCCUUAUCGAUAGUUACCAUCAGGUUAUGCUGGGGACUCUGUCGAGACUGCCGUCGUAAGAUGUGAGGAAGGUGGGGAUGACGUCAAAUCAGCACGGCCCUUACGUCCGGGGCUACACACGUGUUACAAUGGGGGGUACAGAAGGCAGCUACACGGCGACGUGAUGCUAAUCCCUAAAGCCUCUCUCAGUUCGGAUUGGAGUCUGCAACCCGACUCCAUGAAGCUGGAUUCGCUAGUAAUCGCGCAUCAGCCACGGCGCGGUGAAUACGUUCCC
rnacentral:rRNA from 1 species